UGUGUCCAGCUCUCCCUGUGGAGUUCCCUCAAGCUAGGCUUAAUGCAGAUUAAGGUAAAAAGCAAGGGACAGAGAAACCACCUGAGCUUCCAGAAUGUGCUGCCUCAACAGCUGAUCUUGGCUGAGCAUUUCACAACACAUGUGCAUCCCUGACACUCCGGCUUUUACAUCUGAGCAACUUCAGCCAAACCGCAGGACUUGGUGAGCACUUUCACAUGCCCACAUGGAGAGCAGAUAGAAGAACACUGUGUUCUGUUCUGAAUCACUUGCUGCAUGGCUCCAGAGCCAGUGUCUUCAGGAGCAAGCCCUGUACACCCACAGCCCUGUUUCUGAAGCCAAGAAAAAUGAGAAAGAAAGGAUGCCUUCUAUAAAACCUAAGGAUGCUGUCCCUCCCUGUUUGUGGUAAAUACUUCCUUCCUCACAGGAAAGCUGUCUUGAGCUAAGAAGUAAAAUGGCAACAAGAACUGAGUUGGG